rnacentral:misc_RNA from 1 species
GAUGAAGAACGCAGCGAAAUGCGAUAAGUAGUGUGAAUUGCAGAAUUCAGUGAAUCAUCGAAUCUUUGAACGCACAUUGCGCCCUUUGGUAUUCCUUAGGGCAUGCCUGUUCGAGCGUCAUUUAAACCUUCAAGCUCAGCUUGGUGAUGGGCGACUGUCCUCCCCUCGCGGGGGGACUCGCCUCAAAAACAUUGGCAGCCGGUACAUUGGCUUCGAGCGCAGCAGAAACGCGGUCUCGAGCCCGGUGGAUCGGCUCCCAUAAGCCUAUUCUUUUAUUUUGACCUCGGAUCAGGUAGGGAUACCCGCUGAACUUAAGCAUAUCAAUAAGCGGAGGA